GAAGGAGAGAAAAGAAACACACACACAGGAUACUUGUAUCCGUAACAUCCACAAUCGGGAUGCCAUAGUUAAAGGCUUCCUGCAGCCACUGCCUCACAAUGCAGGCAUCACAGUGAUUGACGGCAGCCCUUUUCCAAUCCAGUUUUUUACUGUUUUAAAGAUCACUCAUUUUAUUUGCCUUCCUUGCCCUGUUGAAUAACCUUUUUUGUUAAUGUAUUCUGAUGAGGUUUUUAUUUAGCUCGUAUUCUGCCUGUAGAGAUACUGCAAAUUUUGGCUUGUGUCCACAACAGGCAACUAGGGUUUGUCCUGGCAGGUCUGUUAGACUUAUAACCAUGAGUGGUCAUUCGAAAUUGGCAUUGCCAGAGCUCCAUUGUGAGAACUGCAAGGAGACUGGUACAGCAGGCAUGAAAGACCUGCAAAGGAGUGGCUAUUGACCUGCCGCUGUCUUCUCAACAGACGUGAUCUCUUCAUAUGAAGAGCUGAACAUGGCAUGCCACAUCAAGCAUUUUUGACAAUGCUUGACCAGAGGACAGUGCGUUUUGGCAGAGUCAGUUGGGAUAGGCAGACUGAUGUCUCUCCAGACCACACGGCUCUCUUCAUCAAAUCGGAUCUUAUACCCAUCCCUGGCAAUAAAUAAUUAUGUUUUUAGUCGC